rnacentral:rRNA from 1 species
CGGGAAGCGAGCGUACACAGGUGCUGCAUGGCUGUCGUCAGCUCGUGUCGUGAGAUGUUGGGUUAAGUCCCAUAACGAGCGCAACCCCUACCUUAGUUGCCAUCAGGUAAUGCUGGGGACUCUAAAGGAACUGCCUACGCAAGUAGUGAGGAAGGCGGGGAUGACGUCAAAUCAGCACGGCCCUUACGUCCAGGGCUACACACGUGCUACAAUGGCCGAUACAGAGGGCAGCUACCUGGUGACAGGAUGCAAAUCUCCAAAGUCGGUCUCAGUUCGGAUCGGAGUCUGCAACCCGACUCCGUGAAGUUGGAUUCGCUAGUAAUCGCGCAUCAGCCAUGGCGCGGUGAAUACGUUCCCGGGCCUU